UACGGAGGGGGCAAAUGUUGUUCGGAUUUACUGGGCGUAAAGCGACCGUAGGUGGUCGGUCAAGUCAGAUGUGAAAGCCCCGGGCUUAACCCGGGAAUUGCAUUUGAAACUGGUCGACUAGAGUAAUGGAGAGGAUGGCGGAAUUGCCAGUGUAGAGGUGAAAUUCGUAGAUAUUGGCAGGAACACCAGUUGUGAAGACGGCUAUCUGGCCAUUUACUGACACUGAGGGUCGAAAGCGUGGGGAGCAAACAGG
rnacentral:rRNA from 1 species